rnacentral:lncRNA from 1 species
AAAUUCUAGCCAUACCAAAAUCAGAUAUCUUAGGCUUCAUAUCCCCAUCCAGUAAAAUGUUGCUGGCUUUCAAGUCUCGAUGGAUAAUUGUCAGUCUCGAAUAUUCUUGGAGGUAUAGAAGGCCUUGAAUUAUCCCUUCAAUGAUUUCUGCCCUUUUCUUCCAAUCCAACAAAUAUCGCCUAAUCGGAUCUGUCAUAUCAGAUAACAUGCAUAAGAAUGUCGGAAAUUGUAAUGCAAUGAAAGACUAGAUCACACUCAAAUCUUUUUUUAUUUCUGUAAAUCCAAGCAUAAAAGGAUGCUGAGUGCUAACCAUAUAGGUAACAGUCCAGGCUUUUUUUUGGCAUGUACUCAUAGACCAGCACCUUCUCUUCUCUGCCAACGCAAAAUCCCAAAACUUUCACGAGAUUUACAUGUUGUAAUCUUGCAGUGAGCAUAACCUCAUUCUUGAAUUCAUCAAAUCCUUGAGUAGAGGAUUUCGAAAGUUUUUUCACUGCUAUUUCUUGUCCACCUGGUAAAACACCCUGGAAAAACAGAAUGUCAUGCUAAUUUCUUUCACUCAAAGACUGAAAUCUGAAUGCUUGAAGAUUGCAAAGGGUUUAGAUUGCAGCAUUUAUAUUAUAUGCUAACUAUAUCUUCUCCUAUAUUUAAGCUACUGGAAAGUUAAAAUAGAAUUGAAGUCUAUCUCUAGUAUACGAGUUUAUCACAAUAUCAGUUUGCAAGUUAUCUUGAAUAUGCCUCCUAUAUCUUCCUGAUUCAACAGUUUGAAAGUUAUCUCCAGUAAAGAUAAGCAUGUCUUAUCCCUGCAAAAGAGAGAGAGUUUUCUAAAUGGCAGGAGACAGGCACUUAAUGACUCCAUUUUCACAAGUGGAACAUUUCUCUAGAAACGCUUACUCACAGUCCAUUCUUGCAAAUGGUUGCAUAUCUCCACGAAUCCUCAACAAAAUAUAGCAUCAUGAGUUGAAGAGUAAUGUCCCAUUGUAAUCUAUAAAGAAUAAUUAGUUAAUUGUAAACAGGGCCAAAUCCACCCUCCCCAAGCUUAUUUUCAAAUUCAAACUGGUAUGUAGCUUUCUCAAUAUCUGCCAAACUAUAUACUAUCAGAUCAGGAUUAUUGCUGUCGAAGUCGCCUGCUGCUGCCGCAUUAUUUACUUUCAACUUUGUUUCUUUACUCUUUGAUUUGAGGAUUCUAAUUCUUAUGAAAUAAAAUGCCAAGCCCAGUAGAAUAAUAACAGCAGCAGUUGUUGUCAAGAUGAUAAUCAAUGUAAGGGAUUUUGGUCGUCCUUCGUGUUUGGGAUCAACCCCUCCACCUGAGUCAACCCCCCCAGCUGAGUCAACCCCCCCAGCUGAGGACAUAAACAUAUUAUGUGAAUUAGUGAUCAGAAUUGUCUGUUUCCAGUAAAUUUUAAAAGAUUAUUCAAGAAUGAUUUAAAAGAAAAUGAUGCAGAUGUUUUGCAUAAAAAAAAAAAAAAUCACAGAUUAUUCAAGGAUGAUAAAUCAUUAUUUUUUGGCCGCCAGAUGGUACCAAUUGUCGAAUUUAUAUAGGCAGACAAUAUCCAACCAUCUAAACACACAAAAGAUUAAAAAAAACUGCAAGUAGGUACACAAUCCUGCAUUAUAUAUGACAAGCCUUAAUGACAAAUAGCUGAUGAUGGCCUUUUGGUUUUACCCUGAAGCAAGUAGGAAUUCAUAAGAAUUCAGAUAAAAAGAAUAUCUGGCAAGAUUCUCUAUAUAUUGCACCUUAACAAUCAAAUUAAUCAAUCAAGGCCAACCUCUUGACAUCAUUGUUAUCACGAUGGUCAAAGAACCAUUUUGUGGCUUAAGAACAUUCCCAUACCUGCUUGAGAGAGUACCCAGUUGUGAUCACCAGAAACUUCCCAUACAAAAUAUCCGAGGAGGGCCUUCUCCUUGGCAUAAGAAACCUUAGUUCUAACAACAUCAACACCAUCAAAACUAAUCCAAGUUGACCCUACGAUGCCGUAAUUUACCACAUAAGUGGAAUUGUAGAUAGGAUCAACUCUUCCGUUUGCUUUGAAAUAAUUAUUGAUAACUUUAUAGCUCAUGGAUCCAUCUUGUGUAACGGCUGGUCCUGUUGCUGGUGCGCCAAUGGCAUUUUCAUUCGGGCUUGCAAGUUUCCACGCAUAACCAUAGAAAGGCAAACCUAAAACCAACUUACUAGCCGGUAAUCCUCCAUUAAUCCAUGCUCUUAUUCCAAAAUCAGUGUUAACAUCACUAUCAGGAUCAUACAAAGCUGCAACAGCAGCAGUGUAGUUAGCCCAUGUAGGCAUGAAGUAGUCAAAAGCCAGCACAUGAGUCCAAUUCAAAUUCUUCCGUAUAGAGUCUAUAGGGAAACUCCCGGAAUCCAGUCUUGGCGAGUACCGAACGGCUGCUGUCAGGAUAAGUUCUGACAGGCUAGAGUUUCUUCCCUCCAAAGCAAUAGCAGCACGCCACUCUUCGAAGAGGGUACCCAUAAUGUCCAUGUUAUCGCUUGUGCUGGCCGAAACCCAGCUGAAGUCUAGCCCUUGAAAGCCAUAAUGCCUCGCUAUUUUUAUUGAGUCAUCUAUGAAAAACUUCCUGCAAGUAGAAUUGCCUGCCAUUGCAGAGAGUGUUGAAUAGUUUGCGCUUCCUCCUCCAAUGGAUAGUAAGGUAGUGAUCGAUGGAUUCUUCUGUUUUACGGUGUUUGUGAAGGCAGAGAAGAGUGGGUCAUCUGAGGAGGAGAUAGACAGGUGAUACGAAGAUGAAUUAAGGCCAGCAAAAGCACAAAUAAGGUGAGUAUAGAGGGUAGAAUUUAUGUCAGAAAUUGGGAGGUCACUGCCAGAAAACCAAUAGCCAGCUUUGAUCCAUGCUUGUGCUUUUGCAGGAUGCAAUUUUAAAGAGAGAAAUACAUGAAAGAGGAUGAUGAUAGUAAUUCUCGAUACCAUUGGAGCUUGCUUGAUAAAAAUACAAGGAAGGCAAAUGUACAAAGACAAAAGCAUGUAAAUGUUCCAGUCAGGACUCGGUUCUCAAUGCCACCGUUACCGCGUUCCCGUAUGUCACGGUUCCGCCAUGCUUUUUUAUUUUAUUUUUUAAAAACAUUUAAAUUAGUAUUUUUUUAAAUGUUUUUUAAUUGUCUUAAUUUAUUGAUUUCAAUAAUAAAAACAUUUUAAAAAAAAAUAUUAUUUUAAUAUAUUUUAAAAUAAAAAAUAUUUUAAAAAAUAAUAUUUACUAAACUAUCAAACUUGCUUUAAACUAGACUCCAUUAAAACUUUGUAUUUUCUAUUUUAAAAAAUAAAAUAAUUUUAGUUUUAUUUUAAAAUAAAAUUUUAAAAAAUGUUGUUAACUCAAAUGAAACUUAAUUAAGACACCUCAAUCGUUACCAAAUCGUUUUAGAAACUUGAAAUUGUAAUAACGGUGAUAGUUUAAAAUAUUUUUUGUUUAAAAAUAUAUCAAAAUAAAAAAAAAAAUAUUUUUUUAAAAAUAUUUUUGACAUUAGUAUAUUAAAAUAAUUUUAAAAAAUAUAAAAAAAUUUAAAUAUAAAUAAUUUUAAAAAUAUAGGUGUGUUCAGGAUGCAAUUUCAAUUUUAAAAUAUAAUUUCGAUAGAAAUAAUAGUUUUUCAAAAAUGUAUUAAUGAUAAUAAUAUUUUUUAAUUUUACCCUUCAAAUUAAAUCUAUGGUUGCUUUUCAAUAUUGAUAAUAAUAUUUUUCAAAUUUAUUGAUUAUUUUAUUAAUAAUAUUAUUUAAAAUACAAAUAAAAAUGUUUUUAAUAAUAAAAAUAAUAAUAUUUAUAGAACAAAUAAUAAUAUUUUUUAUAUUAAUACUUUUAAUUAUAAUACAAAUAAUAAUAUUUAGAAAUUUAAGACUCAAGAACCUUGGAUCCUAACACUGCACCCAAGAGAAUUGAAUCUUGAUGCAGGACCCAUUAGUCUUGGGUCGUGACAAUGGACCCAACAGAAUUAGAUCCUGACAAUGAAUCCAAGAGAAUUAGGUCCUGAAAAAGCACAUAAGAGAAUUGUGUACCGCGAUCGUGUUUGCAGACCCAAGGUGCAUGGGUCUUGCCAUAAUGACCAAUGCAUGGUAACCCCAGCGCCAGGUGUCUACACCCUCAGGCAUGCUAGGAUACAGGGCCCAACAUUGUUGGGUCCUAAUUUUAAGGCAGGGCCUAAAGAAUGUGCGUCCUUCUCGAGGUCGGGCCUAAUAUUGUUGAACGCAGCUACGACCUUCUGCUGAGGCAAGCCCAGAACACAUUAGCUUUAAGUCUUGUAACCAAGCAGGAUCCAAUAACGUUAGGCCUCAUUGUCCUAUUGGAUAUAAGAUCCAUGGCUAUUGGGUUCGGUUGUGUAUCAGCACCUAACACUAUUGGUUCCUACUGGGCAGCAAUUCCUACCUCCAGCAGGAAAUUUAAAUUUUAAAAAAUAUGUUGAGAUAAUUUUUUUAUUUUUUAAAAUAUAUUUUUUAUAUCAUCAAAUACAAAUAAUACAAAAACAUCAAAAAAAUAUUAAUUUAAAUUAAAUAAAAAUGUUAAAAAAUUGAAAAAACUUUAAGCAUUUUUUAAUCGAAAAAACAAACAUUCUUUAAUAAAAAAAUUCAACCCAACCUGAAAUGAAAAACAAUUAUCAUAACCCAUCUUUUGCACAAUAUAAAAAAAAAGUCUCAUUAAUUUAUUUCUUCUUUACCGUAUGAAAAAUAAAAUUAAAUCAGAGAAAAGAGAAGAAACCUUAGACCCAGUGAUAUUGGAAAUAUCCUAAAAUAUUUUUAAAAAAAAAACAUGUAUUGAGAUGAUAUUAUUUUUUUUUGUAAAAUCUAUUUUUUAUAUCAUCACAUCAAAAUAAUACAAAAACAUCCAAAAAUAUUUAUUUGAAGUAAAGAAAAAAAAUACCAAAUUCUUUUUAAACAUUUUUUGAAAAGCAAAAACAAACAUGUUUUAAUAAAAAAAUUCAACCCAACCUCAAAUGAAAAACUAUUAUCACCAGCCAACUUUUGUACAAUAUCAAAAAAGUCUCAUCAAUUUAUUUCCUCUUUACAGCAUGGAAAAAAAAUUAAAUAAGAAAAAAGAAAAAUAAUUUAAAGAUAAAAAAAAAUAAAAUUGAAAAUAUCUUAAAGAUGAAAAAAAAUUGGAAAUCCUAAACCCAAUGAUAUUGCCAAGCCAGACCCAAUAUCUAAAAAAAAAAAUUAGAAAUAUCUUAAAAUAUUUUUGUAAGAAAAUAUAAUGAAAUAAUAUUUUUUAUUUUGUAAAAUCUUUUUUUUUUAUAUCAUCACAUAAAAAUAAAAAAAAAAACAUCAAAAAAAUAUUAAUUUGAAUUAAAGAAAAAGGUUAAAAAUUUUGAAAUGAUUUUUUAAGCAUUUUUUAAACGAAAAAACAAACUUGUUUUAAUAAGGAAGUUUAACCCUAUCUUAAAUGAAAACAAAUUAUCAUCACCUAACUUUUGUACAAUAUAAAAAAUAUCUCACCAAUUUUAUUUUUUUUACCAUAUGAAAAAUAAAAAAAAUUAGAGAAAAAAAAAAUCACAAACCAAAUAUCCUUGGGUAUGGUUGCGCAGCCAAACCCAAGGAUAUUGGGUCUGGCUGCCCAACCAGGCCCAAGAUCGAUAUAUCUUUUGGAAUUGAUUUGGGUCCAACUGGCCAACCAAUCCCAACAUUAUUAUGUUAUAUUAGGCAACAAGAUCCAAUGUUAUUGACACCUUUUGGAAGUGUUUUGGGUCUAGCUUAGUAGCUGGUUGUAGGGUCCAGCGGCCAAGUCAUACCCAACAACUUUUGGUACAGAAGGUAAUGCCCCUAGCUGUAAUUCUUAACUAAAAAUGCAACUUCUUGACUAAAAACACAACAAAGGUAAUGCCCCUUUAGAGUGUUAUAGUGUCGUCUGCAGUGCAAUGUAUUUGUGUCCACAGUAAAUGCAUAAUAUUCCCACCCCCUGUGUUUUAAUACAUAGCAAAACCCAAACAAUGCAAUACACAAUUAAAUCACUCACAAUCUACAGUAAUUCACUAAUUGUUUUUAGGUUUUUUUAUAAUAUGAACACAUGUAAGUUGUGUGUGGAAAUUUAUGCCAUUUGAUUUUGCUAGUAUCAUAUUAGACCUGAUAAAGCUAUAAAAAUCACAGGGAAUAUUAUAGAAGAAAUUAUUUCUAGAGAUCCCUGUAGAUCAUUCAUAAUGUAUUCUACGACCUUCACUUUUCAGAUUGUAUCAGCUUCCUCUUUAAUAAAUAUCUUAUGGGGUUGUAAAUCUUCUCUUAAAUGAAUGCUUGCAUAAAGUCUUUUAGAGAUCCCUAACGGUGUUGCUAGAAGACCCUUCAAAGAUCGAGUCAGUACGAUGUAUUUUGUAUGAUAAAAAGAUAUUAGUAAAGGUAUUAAUGAGCUUUUGUAAAGAUAAAAAAGAAAAAGGAGAAGAAGAUGUAGAUGUAGAUGUAAGGGAAGAAGAGAAUAAAUGUGUUCAUGUCUAAGAGCAUAAGGUUUCGAACCCCUUUUUUGUGUACUCAAGCUUCCUUUUAUACUACAUGUCUUGACUUGCUUCAUACGAUAUGUUAGGGGUAGAAAUGUAAUCUCGUAAUGAUAGAAUAAUAUUAUUAUAUUGUUGAUACUAUCACAUCUCAUUAAUAUAAGCAUGAACUACUUGUUCAUAAUUAAUUGGAUGUGAUGAGUAUCAUAAUCACUAGCCCAGACCUAGAGUAAGGGAGGCUUAGAGUAAGGUUACUUUUCAGCUAUACGCUAAACUUAGAUGCAUUUGGGUUCAGUUUGUACAUUCAACUCAAGUGUAUUCGGGUUCAGCAGUACGCCAAAUUCAAUAGGAGUUGGGCUCAGCAUGACGUUGAACCCAAGAGGAAUUGGAUUCAGCGGUACGACGAUCUCAAUAGGAGUUGGGUUCAGCUUUAACCCGAACCCAAGAGAAAUUGGGUCCAAUUAUACACUGAACCCAAGAGGAAUUAGGCGCAUACAUGCCUCAUCCCAACUAGAGUUGGGCGUGAACUUGUCCUAACUCAACUUAGAGUUGGACGUGGAUGCAUCCGGGCCCAACUUUAAGUUAGGCAUGAACAUGUCACAGCUCAAUUUAGAGUUGAAGCUAAACGUAUUCUGCUCCAAUACAAGAUUGGGUGUAGAGAAAACAUAACUUAAUUUUAUAUUCAGAUUUUCAUGUGAUGUGAUGGUGGGAGGUUUUUAGAAAACCAUGACCCAUCAAGCCAUAGAGACCAAACAGCACGGCUGAGAGAAAAAGGCAGGCAAUUACGUGGAGAUGGAGUGUGGGGGCCAGGGUCAUAUCAAUUGCAAUUACUUCUUGGUAGGUUUUGUUUUGUUUCUUCAGAUUUCUAGAUUCAACAUUAAAGGUUCUUAUAAGAAAACAUUGCCAGCCCUCUUGUUUUCUUGGUCUAGCUUGGGCUAAAUGUCAAGGAAAGGGGUAGCUGUCUCCCUUAAUUUCUAGACUCAACAUCAAACGUUCUUAUAUAUAUAUAUAUAUAUAUAUAUAUAUAUAAAGUCCUAAUUUGGCCCCUUUUCAUUGUUCUCCUUCGCAGUUUUCUCAUGAUUUUGAGACAAUUUAAUCGCAAACCAACAUAGAGAUGCAAAAAUAGAAGUGCCCCUAGCUAGAUCAUUUGUAAUUCCAGAAAGGUAAGAAGUUAAUUUUGAAACAGUAAAUCUUUUUAAUUAGUGUGGCUUAUAUAUCCAUGUUUAAUAACUUACUUAAAUAAUUUUUUUAUAAUUAAAUGAUAGAAUAAACAUAUAUGUAGACAAUUAAUUUUAAAAUUAAUUGUUUAUAAUAGUGUUUUUCUUAUUUUGUUAAGCCAGGUGAUAUUUUAUAGUACUUUUUUAAAUAAAUAAGUAUUAAUUAUUAAUUGUUUCCAUAAAAAGUAUGAAAUAUUUAUCUUAAAUUAAUUUAUUAUCCUCUAUUUAUAAAUUAGAUGACCACAUGAGAAUUUUUUAUUUUUUUUGAAAAAGUGUAGGUUGAAGAAGACUUAAUUUGAUUUGAUCCGACAGAUAUAUGUAACUUUAAACCAUUAAUGUCUUAGAGAUCUACAAAUAUAAUAACUUAAAGUACACAAACUUAUCAUGGCUCAGAUAAUUGCAAUUUUACUACCUGAGACAUUUAUUUUUCUCAUUUCAGUAUAUUGUGUUUUUCAAUUUCACCAAAAAUAGAAUUUUCAAAUUAAAAUUCUUUGGUAAAAAUAAAUUCAAAUUAUGCAGCUCUUUGGUAAGAAGAAGACGAAGAAGAAGAAGAAGAAGAAGACAGUACUGUAAUAUCCGCAAUCAUUCAUUUUUGUCAUUAUCAACACUUAAACCUCCUUGUUGGCCAAUGCAAGAGAUAUUAAUACUAGUCGUUGGCCAUAUAAUUCCACGUUCAAGAUUUCAAUCUAGAUAAGGAAUUGAUAACUUGUAGGGUCGCCAGAAUUGUCUUAGUACGUGAAGACUUUUGUGUAAGACUUGUGGUGGCCUUUGAUACGUCGUCAGGAGCAGUCUAUCAAAGUUUUUUUCAUAUAAAUUUUAUUUUGCUAUGACUGAUGAAUUUUAGCGGUAGCAAAAAGGUGGCCUGAAGGAGGAAUUUGAGUCCUAGCAAAAAGGGAGAGCCGAACCCGAAUCUUUAUCGUUAAAUAUCACAACUAAAAUGCAAAUAUAUAAUCAUACACCUUUAUUUCGACAUUAUAACUUUACGUAUAGCAAGUUGUCCCAACACAUGAAGCCAGUGAGCAAAUUUAUUCAGAACUAACUGCUUAGUGGAAAGAGGCAUAUUGCAUGGCAUUAUAGUUCAGUUACGGAGUUGUUUGAUAAUAAUCUAGAAAAAACACAACGAGCUUUGCUGUUCAAGUCUGUAAACAGAUUUAGCAUUUGCUUCAAGCUCCCGCAAGAAAGUACUUCCUCAUCGCCCCACGACUUGCGAUAUUGUUGCAUCAUCAACUGAACAAAUCUCUAAAUGCAAUUGCUCAGGUCUGUUUCCGUCGUCUUCAUCUGUCCUCACAGAAAAAGCAGGCCUUUUGGGAAUGGUCACAAUGGCAGUUUCGUUUUUGAGCAUUGAAGAAACUUCCAGCAUAGACGGCCUAUCAAUAGGAUUUUCUUGGACACAUAGCAGUGCAAUUUGCAAGCAUUUGAUCAAUUUACAAGAGGACAAUGUGUCAUCCAGCGAUGGAUCCAUGAUCUCCAUGCCUUUACCAUCUUUCCACAGCUCGUAAGCCUGCAAUUAACAAAAAUCAUAAUCAUGCAUGACAAAUGCAAAAUCUAAAAUAUCGUCAGUUGUGUUAUCAAGAAACUUACAUAUUCUAGGAGGCUUAAAUUUUCACCAGAAUCAUACAAGGAGCCAUUCUUCUUGCCGCUUAUGAUAUGCAGUAGUACCACUCCAAAACUGUAAACAUCAGAUUUUAUGGAAUACACGCCGUUUCUGACGUAUUCCGGAGGAACAUAACCGCUGCACAGGAUGAUUUCAUUCACAAUGUUAAGUUUUCAAAAAUAAUCUAUGUAUGAAAUGAAUUUGUGCAUGCAUCAUGCUUACUAUGUCCCAACAAGCCGGCUAGUGUUUGCUUCUUGUUCAUCUUUUGUGAAAAUUCUAGCCAUACCAAAAUCAGAUAUCUUAGGCUUCAUAUCCCCAUCCAGUAAAAUGUUGCUGGCUUUCAAGUCUCGAUGGAUAAUUGUCUGUCUCGAAUAUUCUUGGAGGUAUAGAAGGCCUUGAGUUAUCCCUUCAAUGAUUUCUGCCCUUUUCUUCCAAUCCAACAAAUAUCGCCUAAUCGGAUCUGUCGUAUCAGAUAACAAACUAUCAAGGCUAUAAGCAUUUUAGAUCUUACUGACACGAACAUGCAUAAGAAUGUUGGAAAUUGUAAUGCAAUGAAAGACUAG